rnacentral:rRNA from 1 species
CGCGUAGGCGGGUUUUCAAGUCGGUUGUGAAAUCCCCCAGCUCAACUGGGGAACGGCAUCCGAUACUGUCUGUCUUGAGGACGUGAGGGGAGAGUGGAACUUCUGGUGGAGCGGUGAAAUGCGUAGAUAUCAGAAGGAACGCCGGUGGCGAAAGCGACUCUCUGGCUCGUAUCUGACGCUGAGGCGCGAAAGCUUGGGUAGCAAACG